AUGGCAUUCCCAACCCUACCAAUUACACUCACAUGCCUUACAGUGUUGGUAUUCUUGUCGAUUGCCAUGGCAGCUGCUAACGACUCCAUGGACUCGGGCCUUGUCCUCCUAAAUUGCGGAGAAUCAAAGCAAGACAAUGACAGUAGUGGCCGUAUGUGGGACGGGGACACCGGCUCCAAAUUCAUGACAUCGUUUAAAGGGGUUGCAGCCAAUGCUUCAUACCAAGACCCUUCACUCCCCUCCAUGGUCCCUUAUAUGAGUGCACGCAUCUUCACUUCAAAUUACACCUAUUCCUUCCCUGUCAACCCAGGCCGCAUGUUCUUACGCCUUUACUUCUAUCCGAUUUCUUAUGGAAACUAUACUAUGUCCGAUGCCUUCUUUGGUGUCACCUUAGGAAAUCUAGUCCUCCUGAAUAGCUUCAAUGCUUCACAAACGGCUCAGGCGGCCAAUUAUGCCUACCUUGUCCGUGAAUUCUCGGUGUAUAUUUCUUCACACAGUUUGGACAUCACCUUUGCCCCAUCAGCACAUCAGAACAGUUCUUAUGCAUUUGUCAAUGGCAUAGAGAUUGUGCCCACACCUGACAUCUUCACAACAGCUGACACAAUAUUUGUCCACCAUGAUUACAUAGCUCCAUUCACAUUUGCCGCUAACACAGGCUUCCAGACUAUGUACCGGUUCAAUGUCGGGGGCCAAGCCAUUUCCCCCGAGAAUGACUCCGGAUUUUACCGCUUAUGGGCCGAUGAUUCCCCAUACAUAUUUGGUGCUAGCUCUGGGGUGACAUACUCCAAAGAUAAUAAUGUGACUAUUAGGUACACACCCGUAGUGCCAAAGUACAUAGCGCCACUUGACGUCUAUGGUACAGCUCGGUCGAUGGGACCAACUGCACAGGUCAACCUGAAUUACAACCUUACAUGGAUUUUACCUGUUGAUGCGGGGUUCAUUUACCUCCUAAGGUUCCAUUUCUGUGAGAUUCAGUAUCCUAUUACCAAGGAGAACCAGAGGACGUUCUACAUCUACAUCAACAACCAGACAGCACAAUGGGCCAUGGAUGUAAUCUCUUUGAGUGGAGGACUCGGUAGAACAUCAUAUAGAGACUAUAUUAUCAUGGCUAGGGGUUCCGGUCAGGUGGAUAUGUGGAUUGCACUUCACCCUGAUAUUUCAACUAAGCCAUGCUAUGUUGAUGCGAUACUGAAUGGUCUUGAGGUCUUCAAGCUACAGGGUCAUGAACCGAACAAUCUUGCUGGGAUCAAUCCUCCACUUCAACAAAAUCCUGAUGCGGAACCUAAGAGGGUACCUGGCGGUGCAAGAAAGUCCAAAAGUGGCCUACCAGUAGCCAUCGCUGGCGGUUUUGCUUUGAUGUUGAUUGCCCUUUUCAGCAUGUGUGUUAUUUGCCGACGAAAAAAAGUACGGAAGAGUUCUUGCAAGACCAACAACGGACAUCUAAAUCAUCCCGCAUGUGAUCUCUUGCGUCAGUUCUCGUUUUCACAAAUUCAAAUUGCCACCAACGACUUUGAUGAGGAACUAAUCAUUGGCAGAGGUGGAUUUGGUAAUGUCUACAGUGGUGAGAUAGAUGGAGGGACAAAGGUGGCGAUCAAGCGACUCAACCAGGAAUCCCAACAAGGCAGUCAUGAGUUCCAGGCUGAAAUUGAGAUGCUGUGCAAUAUCCGCCAUGGCCACCUUGUGUCUUUGAUUGGCUACUGCCAGGACAAUAAUGAGAUGAUUUUGGUGUACGACUACAUGGCUCAUGGAACAUUGCGUGAGCAUCUGUACAAUACCCAAAACUCACCACUAUCGUGGCGGCGGCGCCUUGAGAUCUGCAUCGGUGCAGCUCGAGGACUGCAUUACCUCCACACUGGCACAGAGACAGGAAUCAUCCACCGUGAUGUUAAGACAUCAAACAUCCUACUGGAUGAGAGGUUCAUGGCGAAGGUUUCUGACUUUGGUCUGUCUAAGGCUUUUCCAGCCAUUGACAAUACCCACGUGAGCACCGCUGUGAAAGGCACCUUUGGAUAUUUUGAUCCGGAGUACUUCCUAUUGCGGCGUCUCACCAAAAAAUCAGAUGUGUACUCCUUCGGAGUCAUGUUGUUUGAGAUCCUGUGUGCGCGCCCUGUGAUAAACACUGAGCUCCCAGACGAGCAAGUGAGCUUACGUGACUGGGCGCUAUAUUGCCAAGAGAGAGGCGUACUUGAGGAGAUUGUUGACCCUUGUGUAAAGGACGAGAUCACCCCCGAGUGCUUCAGUAUAUUUGCAGAGCUAGCAGAAAAAUGUGUUGCUGAUCGUAGCAUGGAUCGGCCAACAAUGGGAGAUGUACUUCAGAACCUUGAGGUCGCACUCAGGUUGCAGGACAAUAACAACUGUGUCGGGAGGCCAUCGUCUCUUCAGAUCAUCGGAAUGCAUUCAGACAAACCAUCGACCCACUCAAUCAUUAGUGUCGCUGCACAGGGAGAGAUAUUUUCAGAUAUUAUACAUCUGGAAGGCCGAUGA
rnacentral:rRNA from 1 species